UACGGAGGGGGCUAGCGUUGUUCGGAAUUACUGGGCGUAAAGCGCACGUAGGCGGCUUUUCAAGUCGGAUGUGAAAUCCCUCGGCUUAACCAAGGAAGUGCAUCCGAAACUGGAGAGCUUGAGUACUUAAGAGGAUCGCGGAAUUCCCGGUGUAGAGGUGAAAUUCGUAGAUAUCGGGAGGAACACCAGUGGCGAAGGCGGCGAUCUGGGAAGAUACUGACGCUGAGGUGCGAAAGCGUGGGGAGCAAACAGG
rnacentral:rRNA from 1 species